AAAUAAGUAAGCUGGAAGUUUUGCUUCUCAGGGCGGAAGGAUGAAAGAUGUGUUUUGAAAAUGCCACGUGACUACCGUCCCCCUCCCUCCCGGAUCAGUCCGCAUGUUCAUGGCACCAGCAUUUGUUAUGGAAUAUAUUGAGCAAACCUGGAGAUAUUAUUGUUGUCAUUGCUGUGGAUCUUUACUGACUUGGCUCGGGACCAGCACUCCUGUUGUUGGACAGAAAGACAUCAACUCAGUGACUUGAGAUAUGACUGCACUGUGCUGUUGCUGUGACUCCAGUUAAUUCUACAAGACAUGCUGUGUAAGUAAACAAACAACAACAGUUUGGUCUGCAUUUCUUGAAAGAUCACAUCCCCCAAACUUAGUUUAGAGGGUCUACACUGUAUAUAGUGAAGUCUGCAAGUUUUCUAACAGCAAAAUUUGUUUUGUGCCCAAAUCAU